GACGAACGCUGGCGGCGCGCCUAACACAUGCAAGUCGAACGAGCGAGAGAGAGCUUGCUUUCUCUUGCGCGUGGCGCACGGGUGAGUAACGCGUGAGGAACCUGCCUCAAAGAGGGGGACAACAGUUGGCAACGACUGCUAAUACCGCAUACGCCCACAGGUAGGCAUCGAACAGAGGGAAAAGGAGCAAUCCGCUUUGAGAUGGCCUGGCGUCCGAUUAGCUAGUUGGAGGGGUAACGGCCCACCAAGGCAACGACUGGUAGCCGGACAGGGAGGUUGAGCCGCCACACUGGGGCUGGGACACGGCCCAGAAUCCUACGGGAGGCAGGAGUGGGGAAUAUUGCACAGUGGGGGGAAUCCUGGUGCAGCGACGCCGCGUGAAGGAAGAAGGUCGUCGGAUUGUAAACUCCGGUUGUUGAGGAAGAUAUUGACGGUACUCAACAAGGAAGUGACGGCUAACUACGUG
rnacentral:rRNA from 1 species